rnacentral:rRNA from 1 species
UAACGCGUGAGUAACCUGCCUUUCAGAGGGGGAUAACGUUCUGAAAAGAACGCUAAUACCGCAUAAGAUUGUAGUUUCGCAUGGAGCAGCAAUCAAAGGAGCAAUCCGCUGAAAGAUGGACUCGCGUCCGAUUAGAUAGUUGGCGGGGUAACGGCCCACCAAGUCGACGAUCGGUAGCCGGACUGAGAGGUUGAUCGGCCACAUUGGGACUGAGACACGGCCCAG